rnacentral:misc_RNA from 1 species
GAUGAAGAACGUAGCAAAAUGGGAUAAGUAAUGUGAAUUGCAGAAUUCAGUGAAUCAUCGAAUCUUUGAACGCACAUUGCGCCCGCUGGUAUUCCGGCGGGCAUGCCUGUUCGAGCGUCAUUUCAACCCUCAAGCCCCCGGGUUUGGUGUUGGGGAUCGGCUCUGCCCUUCUGGGCGGUGCCGCCCCCGAAAUACAUUGGCGGUCUCGCUGCAGCCUCCAUUGCGUAGUAGCUAACACCUCGCAACUGGAACGCGGCGCGGCCAUGCCGUAAAACCCCAACUUCUGAAUGUUGACCUCGGAUCAGGUAGGAAUACCCGCUGAACUUAAGCAUAUCAAUAAGCGGAGGA